rnacentral:rRNA from 1 species
AGUGAACGCUGGCGGUAGGCCUAACACAUGCAAGUCGAACGGCAGCACAGUAAGAGCUUGCUCUUACGGGUGGCGAGUGGCGGACGGGUGAGGAAUACAUCGGAAUCUACUUUUUCGUGGGGGAUAACGUAGGGAAACUUACGCUAAUACCGCAUACGACCUACGGGUGAAAGCAGGGGAUCUUCGGACCUUGCGCGAUUGAAUGAGCCGAUGUCGGAUUAGCUAGUUGGCGGGGUAUAGGCCCACCAAGGCGACGAUCCGUAGCUGGUCUGAGAGGAUGAUCAGCCACACUGGAACUGAGACACGGUCCAGACUCCUACGGGAGGCAGCAGUGGGGAAUAUUGGACAAUGGGCGCAAGCCUGAUCCAGCCAUACCGCGUGGGUGAAGAAGGCCUUCGGGUUGUAAAGCCCUUUUGUCGGGAAAGAAAAGCAGCAGGUUAAUACCCCGCUGUUCUGACGGUACCCAAAGAAUAAGCACCGGCUAACUUCGUG